UACAGAGGUCUCAAGCGUUGUUCGGAUUCAUUGGGCGUAAAGGGCGCGUAGGCGGCGGGGUAAGUCGGGUGUGAAAUCUCAGAGCUCAACUCUGAAACUGCACUCGAUACUGCUUUGCUAGAGGACUGGAGAGGAGAUUGGAAUUCACGGUGUAGCAGUGAAAUGCGUAGAUAUCGUAAGGAAGGCCGGUGGCGAAAGCGAGCCUCUGGACAGUUACUGACGCUGAUGCACGAAGGCCAGGGGAGCAAACGGG
rnacentral:rRNA from 1 species